rnacentral:rRNA from 1 species
UAAUCUGCGAUAAGCGUCGGUGAGGUGAUAUGAACCGUUAUAACCGGCGAUUUCCGAAUGGGGAAACCCAGUGUGAUUCGUCACACUAUCAUUAACUGAAUCCAUAGGUUAAUGAGGCGAACCGGGGGAACUGAAACAUCUAAGUACCCCGAGGAAAAGAAAUCAACCGAGAUUCCCCCAGUAGCGGCGAGCGAACGGGGAGGAGCCCAGAGCCUGAAUCAGUGUGUGUGUUAGUGGAAGCGUCUGGAAAGGCGCGCGAUACAGGGUGACAGCCCCGUACACAAAAAUGCACAUAUUGUGAGCUCGAUGAGUAGGGCGGGACACGUGGUAUCCUGUCUGAAUAUGGGGGGGACCAUCCUCCAAGGCUAAAUACUCCUGACUGACCGAUAGUGAACCAGUACCGUGAGGGAAAGGCGAAAAGAACCCCGGCGAGGGGAGUGAAAAAGAACCUGAAACCGUGUACGUACAAGCAGUGGGAGCCUCUUUUAUGGGGUGACUGCGUACCUUUUGUAUAAUGGGUCAGCGACUUAUAUUCUGUAGCAAGGUUAACCGAAUAGGGGAGCCGAAGGGAAACCGAGUCUUAACUGGGCGUUAAGUUGCAGGGUAUAGACCCGAAACCCGGUGAUCUAGCCAUGGGCAGGUUGAAGGUUGGGUAACACUAACUGGAGGACCGAACCGACUAAUGUUGAAAAAUUAGCGGAUGACUUGUGGCUGGGGGUGAAAGGCCAAUCAAACCGGGAGAUAGCUGGUUCUCCCCGAAAGCUAUUUAGGUAGCGCCUCGUGAAUUCAUCUCCGGGGGUAGAGCACUGUUUCGGCAAGGGGGUCAUCCCGACUUACCAACCCGAUGCAAACUGCGAAUACCGGAGAAUGUUAUCACGGGAGACACACGGCGGGUGCUAACGUCCGUCGUGAAGAGGGAAACAACCCAGACCGCCAGCUAAGGUCCCAAAGUCAUGGUUAAGUGGGAAACGAUGUGGGAAGGCCCAGACAGCCAGGAUGUUGGCUUAGAAGCAGCCAUCAUUUAAAGAAAGCGUA